rnacentral:rRNA from 1 species
AGGAUGAACGCUGGCGGCGUGCCUAACACAUGCAAGUCGAACGUCCUGUCUCGCAAGAGGCAGGGAGUGGCGGACGGGUGAGUACCACGUGGGUCAUCUACCGUGAGGUGAGGAAUACCGGCGAGAAAUCGCCGACAAGACCGCAUAGGCUCGAUGCAAGUCGAGCAAAGCUCUUUCGAGAGAGGGAGCGCCACACGAGGAGCCUGCGCCCGAUUAGCUAGCUGGUGGAGUAACGGUUCACCAGGGCGACGAUCGGUAGCUGGUCUGAGAGGACGAUCAGCCACACUGGGAUUGAGAACGGCCCAGACUCCUACGGGGGCAGCAGUGAGGAAUUUUCGUCAAUGGGGGCAACCCUGAACGAGCAACGCCGCGUGCAGGAAGAAGGUUUUCGGAUCGUAAACUGCUUUUCUCGGGGAAGAGAACGGACGGUACCCGAGGAAUCGAGCCCCGGCUAACUACGUGCCAGCAGCCGC